rnacentral:rRNA from 1 species
UACGUAGGGUCCGGGCGUUAUUCGGAAUUACUGGGCGUAAAGCGUGCGCAGGCGGUCUUGUAAGCCAGAUGUGAAAGCCCCGGGCUCAACCUGGGAACUGCAUUUGUGACUGCAAGGCUGGAGUACGGCAGAGGGAGGUGGAAUUCCACGUGUAGCAGUGAAAUGCGUAGAUAUGUGGAGGAACACCGAUGGCGAAGGCAGCACCCUGGGUCAAAACUGACGCUCAUGAACGAAAGCGUGGGGAGCAAACAGG